rnacentral:lncRNA from 1 species
GGAAGGCUUCUCAUGAUAGGAAAGCAUUUCAGCAGGCAGGGAGAGAGUGAGUGGGAAGGCAGACAGGUCAUGGAGCAAAGCUGGGAAGGAAAAUGAAUGCCAUUGGGAUUCAUACAUAACCAGUGAAGCUAUGAAAGCUUAACACGGAGCCGAGGAAAAGGAUUGCUGCAGGCUGUGGUUUGGUGCCAUGGAUGGCACAGAGGCUGGGUGAGGGGCAGUCCCAGAGCACCUUCAUUCUCCUCCUGCAGAUGAGCAGAACACUCCAGAUAGCACUGUGGGAUGAAGGGCUUUGCUGCCCACUGCUCCAAGGUGCCCGACCAGCUGCUGGGACAGCCAGGAAGAGAGCCUGCAAGGUGGCCAUUGCUGUGCAGUAGAAGAUUGUCAACCAUUGUUACUGUGGAAACCUUUGAAAAUAUGCUCCAUGAUAAAUUGGAUCUAGUGGCACCAAGGAAUCCCGAGCCUUCACGUGAUGUCUGCAGUUUGGACAGGAAAGGAAGUGAGAUAUAACACCUGCAAGGUGCUGUGAUGCUCAGCAGUGGUUGUCAGUGCUGUUAGAAAUGUGCCAUGAAGCUCAAGCAAAGGGCAAGGAGUGAACAGCAAACUUAUUCUGAUGGAUGGAGGAAAUUUGAAUCUGAACUUCAAAUGAAUGCUCCUUGUGUCCCUGCUUCCUCCUGGACUCAUGCAGAGAAGCCACUCCCUUGUCCCUUUUGAGGGUCGCAAAUAGCACCCACAGCCCAGCCAUCUUUAGCAUCAAAUGGUAGGGACAGACUUUAAGGAAGCAGUGGGUGUUUGCAAGAGCUGAUGGCCUCAUCCCAAAAUCUCUGCGGAGCUGAUGCACAGGUUUCUCGUUCAAGGAUGUUGACAUGGUUGACUUCAGCACCAUUUGGUUGAUCAGGACUCACACUGCCCUCCAGCUCCGUGUGCCUCAUCCAGGACAGAGCUGUGUUUCUGUGGUCACAUUCAAACAUACUCCAUCUUGUGACCCACCAAUACUUCCUCUGCAGAGUUAAAUAAGAGGCGAGGUCUCGGGUUGUGUUAUGACCGAUAGUUGGCUCAGAUUAUUUGGUCACCACUGAAUGAAUGAUUUCUUUCUCCCUUACCUUUUGCCAACGUCAGUGGUGUUCUACCUUUCCUCUUUCUAUGCUAAAUAAUGCAAAGUGGUGUGAAAGAGGGGGACGGCGCUGAAGCAUCAUGCUCCAAGCCAUUUAAUUCGUCCCAUUAACAGGUGUUGUGUUGACUUGAAUUUAUUUGCCUCAAGAAAAAUGUUGAAAUGGAGUUCUUAAGUAGGACCGCACGUUGUGAAAUGUCAAAAAAUGCACUGUGUUUCUUUACUAAGAAUGGUGCAGUCUCCUAUGAGAAACCCCAUGGAUAAGCCAUCCAAGGGCCGAGGCAAUGAGUGCCCGAUAGGCAGUUUUUGUAAGUGGAACUUCUUUCAAAACUGCAGAGCAAAGAGAAAACCGUAUUUCUAAGACUUCAGUUGCUGCCUCCCGAGCUGAUGCACCCUGUCAGAUUGGAUCUCUCAUGUCACGUUACAAUCUGACUUCAGAUGUCACAGCCCAACAAAUCAGCCACAAAUCUGCCAGUUUGGUCUUCACGAGAGCGAUUUGAAGAACGAGCUUACAAGGAGAGCUUUUAUUUUUGGAUCCACUUCCCACCAAAUACUUCAGGCCAGAUACAUCUUCUAAAAGCUGUCCUAGAUGAAUACAUGCAUGGUGUGUGCACACCUGCAGCAUGUAAGGCUGUGUUGAGUACAUGGAUAAUGUUAGAUAUCUUUGUGGUCUUGUUUGGCUGCUGCUGUGAUUUACCUCUGUGCCAGCUGUGGGACGCUGCCCCACUGAGUCCCAUACAGUGGCCAUGCUUACACCUGUGGGACAUGCACCAUGAAAAUGACUGUGGGGUGCAAGCAUGCAGGCAUUUCUAUUGGGUUUUUGUCAGUUUGUUGGCUAUUGUGUCAUUUAUUUGUUUAAACAAAAGCAAAUAGAAGAAGACUGUGUCUUCAGUGUGGGUGAACUCAGAUCUCUCAGUGUGGGGGGGCUGCCUGCCAUCCCUGAGAGCUGCCCCAAGAUCCUCUUGGAGCUGCACUGCCUGCUGCUUUGGUAGAUAGGGCAUGUGGGAAACUUUCUGCUGAAGAAAAAUGCUGAUGUAGUGAGAGCAGUGAGUCUUGCUGGGAGCAUCCCUCUGCUCUCAGCUGGGGGAUGUGUUGGCUUUCUCUCCACGGAAAGGCCCCUGAUAGUACUGGAAGGCAGCAGUGCCAUUUAGGCUCGGUGGUUGUCUGGGCUCUGCUGUUGAGUGACACAGCACUUCUCUCUCCUUUGGCUACAUUAACCAGUUGCGUUGCAUGAAACAAAAAAAGUUGUAUUGGAAUGACAGUGCAGGUUUGUGCUGCCAUUGGGAUUUGGGUCCUUACAGAUGCUAAAAUAGCGAUUCUAUGCUACGUGUGUGUGUGUAUACUAGAUGAAUUCUCCAUUAUUUAUCUUCUUAUUUAAAUGCUAACCACAAUUAAGGUUAGUUAGUUAGAACACUUAGU